rnacentral:lncRNA from 1 species
CCGUUUAGUUCGGGGUUAAGUAAAAACUUAUUAUUCCAGGGAUAGAGUUAAGUUCAAGGUUAAAGUGGGGUUAGAGUAAUUUUGUAUUUGGUUGAGAAUUGGGUUUAGUCCAGGUAUAGAUAAAAUAGUGUUUGGUUGUAAAGGUGGGAUAAGAAGGAUAGUGGGUAAAAUAGUGUUUUGUUUGGUUGGAGUAGUGGGGUGGGGUGGUAACCCCACCCCCCAAAUUGGGUGUUUGGAAAUAACUUCAGGGUUAAGGGGUUAUUU